UUUCNGUAGGUGAACCUGCGGAAGGAUCAUUAAUGAAUUUGGGUGCUCUUAAUUGAGACCUAACCUUCAUCCUUCUACCCUGUGAACUAUUAUCAAUUGAUCGGACCCUUCUGGGUUAGAUUGAUUAUCAUUUUUAAACUCUACAAGUAUAAGAAUGUCAUAAAUUUUAUAAUCAAAUAAAACUUUCAACAACGGAUCUCUUGGCUCUCGCAUCGAUGANGAACGCNG
rnacentral:misc_RNA from 1 species